GCUGGCGGCAGGCCUAACACAUGCAAGUCGAGCGCCCCGCAAGGGGAGCGGCAGACGGGAGAGUAACACGUGGGAACGUGCCCUUUGGUUCGGAACAACACAGGGAAACUUGUGCUGAUACCGGAUAAGUCCGUAAGGAGAAAGAUUUAUCGCCAAAGGAUCGGCCCGCGUCUGAUUAGCUUGUUGGUGAGGUAACGGCUCACCAAGGCGACGAUCAGUAGCUGGUCUGAGAGGAUGAUCAGCCUCACUGGGACUGAGACACGGCCCAGACUCCUACGGGAGGCAGCAGUGGGGAAUAUUGGACAAUGGGCGCAAGCCUGAUCCAGCCAUGCCGCGUGGGUGAUGAAGGCCCUAUGGUUGUAAAGCCCUUUCGGCGGGGAAGAUAAUGACGGUACCCGCAGAAGAAGCCCCGGCUAACUUCGUGCCAGCAGCCGCGGUAAUACGAAGGGGGCUA
rnacentral:rRNA from 1 species